rnacentral:rRNA from 1 species
UAACGAAUAUUCCGCAAUGCGCGAAAGCGUGACGGAGCAAUGCCGCGUGCAGGAUGAAGCCCCUCGGGGUGUAAACUGCUGUCAGGGGCCAGGAAUUUUGACCAGCCCCAGAGGAAGAACCGGCUAACUCUGUGCCAGCAGCCGCGGUAAUACAGAGGGUUCGAGCGUUAAUCGGAAUCACUGGGCUUAAAGCGUGCGUAGGCGGCCCUGCAAGUAUCUUGUGAAAUCCCACGGCUCAACCGUGGAAUUGCUCGGUAGACUGCAGGGCUUGAGCCCGACAGAGGUCGUCGGAACUCUAGGUGGAGCGGUGAAAUGCGUAGAUAUCUAGGGGAACGCCCAAGGUGAAGACAGGCGACUGGGUCGGAGCUGACGCUGAGGCACGAAAGCGUGGGUAGCGAACGGGAUUAGAUACCCCCGUAGUCC